UUAAAAUUCCUUCAUUAAGGGACAGUUACCCAAUUUGCAGUAGCAGCUUCUGUAGGUCUUCCUUGAGAGGCAUCUGAAGAGAUUUCUACACACCAAGCAUAAUUUUAUACGCCUUAAUAGGUUUGAGGAGUAUUAUACAUAAACUCUUUCCAUAACUUCCAUCAUCAUUAGCCAGAGUAGUUUCUACAAAGAUAGUUUGUGUUAUAUGCUUAUAUUGUUUAGGUUGUAACGCCAGGUAUUCCUCUUCAUCUUGUUGGUCAUAUAUAUUAAAAAAAAAAA
rnacentral:misc_RNA from 1 species